CAAAUUAUUUUUGGAAAUUCACUUUUGAUAAAUAUAUUUGGCAAUGCAGACUUAAACCUCAAAAGAAGCAGCCAUUUUUAUCGACAUAUGUCAAUGUCAGUAUUGUCAGUUUCACUUUCCAAAACUUUAAGUGUUGGUUAUUUCAUCUGUAUUUUUCAUUUUCUGUUUUUUUUUCACAGAUUAUUUCCAAUUUUUGCUUGCAAUGUGUAAUUAUUGUUAUAGUUACUACAACAAUUUUAAGUUUUUGUAAUAGUAAAGCAGUUGUUUUAUAUAAAAUGCAUGUACCAGUAAAGUAAGCUUAGAAAUUCUUAAUUUUUAGAAUAUCUGUAUGGCAUCAAACCACAUUGUCCAUUUAUCUACCAUUAUGGAUUUCUUCAGGGAAUAAGAAAAAUUUGAGUCUCGUGGGGAAAAUGCCAUAGAGUCAAACCAUUGAAAAAGACGUGGUGUUUGAUAGGCAGCUCCUUAUUAUUUCCAGAAAUGUGCAUGCAACUAGGCGAAAAUGUUAUUAUAUGGUUGAGAUAAAACUUGUUAGCAACUGUGAUAUCUAGGAAGCUACUUGCACAAGAAGUCAGUUAAUGUUGAUGUGUAAUCAUAUGGCAGCAUUGCUAAUUUUUGCUUCUCAAGAAGCUGCCGACUUGUGAUACAAUAAAAACUAUUGAUGAGCUAUUUGGGGAGAGGUAUAUAUACCUAUCAGUGGACAGUGGCAGAUCCACCAUCAUUGAGAGGGGGGAUCUAUUGGCUAAAUUUCUAUGAAAAGUAAAUAAAUAAAUGAAUUAAGAGAAAAGAAAAGAUGGUUCAGAUUUUUGAAAUAAAUAAAUGUUUUUUAUAAUCUUUAUAUAUAAUUUGGUUUUAGAGGGGGGCCACUGUCAGUAGACCUAUUAUAAACAGUGAGACAUUUGACAGAUUUAAAGACAAACUAGGGUCAUUUGAAAAUGUUGCACUGGCUAAUUAAGAGGGAACCUAUAUAGGAUAUAGUAGAUGUAGAAAUCAUUAUAUUUUCCCAACAAUACCUGGAUUUAAAAAUUUCUGAAGUGAGAAUAGAAGAAAUAUGUGUGAAUACUGCUAACUUUCAACAAUUUCAGAAUUGUUUUGUGUGCCAUAAAUAGGAGUAGAUUCCCAACAUCCUUGUUUAAAACAUUAACAG
rnacentral:lncRNA from 1 species